AAUAGUGUGUUGUGCGCAUUCAUUACACAUGGUACCAUACACAUAAGGGCAUUUUCAUAUAAGUACCUAUUUUUAUAAACAGGAUAGCAAGUGACAGCCUUCAACAAUAUUUGCCUGCAUAUGAUUUUACGGUAGUUCAAGCCUUAAUAUCAAUAAUUACAGAACCAGCAUGUAUACUGUUAAGCGCUAUUUAAAUUUUAUGUAAGGGAUGCCACAUUCUCCUAAAUAUAUGACCCAAAAAGUGCAAGAUUCUCACUCCACUGAAUAUAUCACUUGUAAGAUAAAGUGUAACUAGUAUAAUGCUGUUGGGACAAUUUAAAAAUUUUUUAAUUUUAAUGUUAAUAGUGGCACAUAACUUUAAAAAUCCCAGCACUUGGGAGGCAGAGACAGGUAGAUCUCUGAGUUCAAAGAUAGCCAGGAAUACAUAGACUGUGUCUCAAAAAAAUAAAAAUAAACCCAAAAAAACUACUGAUAAUGUUAAAAGUACAUUUUCUAACUUUUUUAGUCUUAAUUUUUCUACAUGCAGUAGUUCUGGUCAAAUUUACUUUAUUCAAAUACCUAUCUAAAAGAAAAUAGUAAGGCAAAAUGUUACCAAAGUUUCAGGAAAUUGUUUUGGAUAAUUUAGAUGUUAAGAAUUACACAGGACUAAAUAAAACCCUUUCAGUUUGUCCAAAGAAUGUUCCUUUGCCUGUCUUCUUGGAGAAAACUCAUCCAUGUGUUUAUACAUUAUAACUUCAAUUUUGUUUUCAGAUAUCCUUUUGGAUGGAAUACUGCUAUAUUUAGUUAUUUUUAAAUUCAUCGUAGUAAUAUCUGGUCUUAGGCAUGAUACAUGACUAUUACAGUUGAGUGAUCCAGUCACUUUAAGUACAAAGUCAAGUACUGUUUCAAGUUAGCAUCAUGCUUAUGAAGAAAGCAACAAAUUCUGGUCAGGAUUCCCAAACUAAAAUUGGGCCCAUACCUUUAUUUAAGUCUGCAGUACAGAGAGGCCUCAAAACCAAGCCUUCUCCAGGAUGCGUUGGAGAAAUGGCUGGAGAAAAUAUAGCUGUAUUCUGACUCCAGUCCACUUCUUUGAGCAAACUUGGGUCAAACAUGGGAGUUUCAUCGGGUUUCAUCUUUCCAGUAAAGUCUAAAAUAAAAUUUCAAAUGUUGAGAGGCUUUAUAAAAGGAAAAGUAUACUUGUUAAGAAAGUUAAUGUCAUCACACAAAUGGGUUCUAUAACAUUUUAUCAGCUACUCUACUCUAGCUACCUAAAAUCUGUAAGUGUAAACACGUUUACUUGUUAAAAACCAUCUUUACUGUCAGUUGGGUUAUGGGUUGAGUAGUCAAAUUAAGUCACAAAAACAAAACUUUAAAACUAGCAGAUCCUGAAGAUGCUUUAUCCUGUGGGUUGGGCUCCUGGUGUAGCACUGUCAUCUUGUGGGUGCUCACAUUUGAACACUUAGAAUCUUGCAGUUAUUACUAGGCUCAGAAAUCACCUGGUAGCCAGGGGUCACUAAAGACUCACUUAAACAUAUGAAUAUGACUUAUUUUAUAUGAACCACAAACAAGAAACGUAGGAAUUACUCAAAUUACUUCAUUAUUCUCUGUAUUCACAAUAGUAUUAUCUUAGCCAUGACAGACACUGUGUGUGGUAGCUACUUCUAAACAGUUUAAUAACCAGUGGGUUGUUUUGUUGGUGGUGGUUGGUUGUUUUUCAUGCUAUGCACCAGACAUAGAGGGACGUGCUUAUAAUCCCAGAACUUCAGGCACCAAGGGAAUAGGAGUCUUAGGCCAGCCUGGGUUAAACUUUGGAAUACUGUCUCAAAAACACACAUAUGACCAAUGUGAUAUGAAACGCUGUCUCAAUAAAAAUUAAGUCAUAAUAAAUUUU
rnacentral:lncRNA from 1 species